GCUCUGCAGAACUGCAGUGGGCUCCAUCCAGUCCAAACUUCCCAGUGGUUUUGUUUAUACUGUAAGGGGAAAACUGCCUACUCAAGCCUCAGUAAUGGCAGAUGCCCUUCCCCCCAUUAAGCCCG